UCCUCUGAAUAUGAGGUUCUGUGUUGUCUCCUUUCUUAUCAUGAGAAGUGAGCACUUCAGGACUUUCUCCCAAAUCUCAUGGGAAACUACCUGCCUUUCUUUGUUCUUUGACCCCCUAGAAUGUCCCCUUACCUAAUGUAUUUCCGAGUUCUCCCCUCCUUGUGAGAUUCUGUCUUUUCCUGAGAGGUCAUUUCUCAAUGCUGCAAAAAUCUGUGACUUGUCAUCAACAUUUCCUCUUUGGUUCAUCGGGAUUAAAGAUGUUUAAGUUCUCCAGUUACAAAAAAAAUGGAAAUAGUAAAAUUUCCUGUGUUUUUGUUUUUAUUUUGUUUUUCCUUUAGCUGAAGUAAGUAUGUUCCCAGGGAGAUGUGUUGAUCUGUAGUCUUCUUUAUACAUGCUAGAAUUUCACAGACACUGAUCGAAGCUGUUUGCCUCCAGGGCACCUGACCCUAUUGCUGCCCUCACCCCAGGCUGUUCCUCCACUUCCCGACUUCUACACCGGAGUGUGAGCUACUAGAUACCAGAUAACAGAUCCUUGAUCUCCUCGGCUCCCCAGGACCUCACAAAGUGCCUGGUUUGCAGUGGCCACUCCAGACUCGGUGUCAAAAUAAGACAACUAAAACUCAGAGAGAUUGAAAACCACCCCCGAAUUGUACACAUGGUAAAUGGUAAAGCUGGG